rnacentral:rRNA from 1 species
GACGAACGCUGGCGGCGUGCUUAACACAUGCAAGUCGAACGGAAAGGCCCUGCUUUUGUGGGGUGCUCGAGUGGCGAACGGGCGAGUAACACGUGAGUAACCUGCCCUUGACUUUGGGAUAACUUCAGGAAACUGGGGCUAAUACCGGAUAGGAGCUCCUGCUGCAUGGUGGGGGUUGGAAAGUUUCGGCGGUUGGGGAUGGAAUCGCGGCUUAUCCGCUUGUUGGUGGGGUAGUGGCUUACCAAGGCUUUGACGGGUAGCCGGCCUGAGAGGGUGACCGGCCACAUUGGGACUGAGAUACGGCCCAGACUCCUACGGGAGGCAGCAGUGGGGAAUAUUGCACAAUGGGCGGAAGCCUGAUGCAGCAACGCCGCGUGCGGGAUGACGGCCUUCGGGUUGUAAACCGCUUUCGCCUGUGACGAAGCGUGAGUGACGGUAAUGGGUAAAGAAGCACCGGCUAACUACGUG